rnacentral:tRNA from 1 species
GCGCCCUUAGCUCAACUGGACAGAGCUUCUGACUUCGGAUCAGAAGGUUGCAGGUUCAACUCCUGCAGGGCGCGCCA